UCCAUGCUGCGUCGCGCUCGGUAGCGCUGACGCGUUACGUCACUUCCAGGCGUGGUGUUUCGAGUGUGCCGUGCGUGCGCUGAAAAUGGCCGUCCACCUCGGGACACGCUGACUUAGCCGAUUUAUCGAGAGCGAGUCCUGCCUCGAUCGACUCCGACGAGUUCCGCGCGCGCGUCGCGUCGAGGAGUCGUCCGCGUCUCGGCGAGGGCAUCGCUGAUUCCAAGGUCGUAGGACGUCGGAUUUCGCGCGAGGAGUCGCCGUGGUCGAGAGAAUCUUCGUGCAUCAGUGACUCGGAAAUAGUACAAAAAUUCAAUGGAAAUGGGCUUUGUUUACAACACAUGGAUCUGUGCACGAUUAAGCGAAAUGGGCAUUUCGGUUAAUUAACAAACACCUGAUACAAGUUGAUCAAGAUGCGGGAAAGAUGUAGCACGGUCCCCUGGAGGAUAGUGGGGAUCAUCUGAACAAUGCAGUUUAUUUAAAAUAAUAUAUAUUUAAUUAAUAACUCUUCACUUAAAUUGCAAACAAUGGAAGCCUCGGUAACGAGGGUGGUAAAUAUAAAGUGUGCUUGCAUUAAACUAAACGGAUGAUAUGUAAAACUAUUAAUCCAACUUAAUGAAUUCGGUAAUGGAGAAAAUAAGUAACAUGAGCUUCGUUCAGGCAAUUAGAUAUUAAAGUAAUCUCUGGAGUGCACUUUUUAUGAACAUUUUCCUCGUGAUAGUAACCAAAUUUAUACUUUUGUACACUUUUAAUAUUACUCAAAUGAGUGUCAAUUACUAUUUGGAGUAUCGCACGACUUAUGUUACUAAGAAUUAUGUAAAGUAGUGUGCAUUUCAUACGGGUGUGGAAUAUAAGACUGCAAAGAUGUCAUUCUUAUCGAAUCUUAAGAAGGCAUUCCACUUUGGUGGCAAUGAUGCAAAGAAGAAGAAAGUGUACAACAACAUCAAGAUGGAUUGUGAUCCAGAAGAAUUUUGGGAAAUGAUAGGCGAGCUUGGCGAUGGGGCAUUUGGAAAAGUAUACAAGGCACAACAUAAACAAACUCAGCAGCUGGCUGCUGCAAAAAUGUGUGCUUUGGAAGGAGAAGACGAUCUCAGUGAUUUUAUGAUCGAGAUCGACAUCCUCUCGGAGUGUAAACAUGAAAAUGUUGUUGAGCUGCACGAAGCAUACUUUAUCGAUGGAAAAUUAUGGAUGUUAAUUGAAUACUGUGAUGGAGGCGCUCUGGAUUCCAUAAUGGUUGAGUUAGAGAAGCCACUGACAGAACCUCAAAUAGCAUAUGUUUGUCAGCAUAUGACGAGAGGUCUAACCUUUUUACAUAAGUCAAAAGUCAUUCACAGGGAUUUAAAGGCUGGCAAUGUUUUACUUACAAUGGCUGGAGGUGUCAAAAUAGCUGACUUUGGUGUGUCGGCGAAGAAUAAGCACACUCUACAAAAACACGAUACCUUUAUUGGUACACCCUACUGGAUGGCUCCGGAAGUGGUUUUGUGUGAAACAUUCAGAGACAAUCCAUAUGACUUCAAAGUGGAUAUUUGGUCCCUUGGUAUAACGUUAAUAGAGUUUGCACAAAUGGAGCCGCCGAAUCACGAAAUGUCGCCAAUGCGUGUCUUAUUGAAAAUUCAGAAAAGCGAUCCUCCUAAACUUGACCAGCCCGGAAAAUGGAGUAAGGAUUUUCAUGACUUUAUAGCGAAGGCAUUAACGAAGGAUCCUACUGCUCGACCCACGGCUGAGGAGUUAUUGAAGCAUGCGUUUAUAAAUAGAGAUUUGGAUUCGAAACCAAUAAGGGAUUUGCUGCUCGAGUACAAGGCUGAUGUUGUCGAAGAAGAGCUGGUUGAUGAGGAAGCCGAGCGCACGUCGCAGUUACCCCUCGAGCUGGACCAACUCGGAGAUGAUUCCGCAUCUAUGCGCAGCGACACUGACAUUAAGAUUGCGGAGAAGGAGAAUGUCGUGUCACCGGUGUCUGCGAAGAGGGAAGAGAGUAACAAGCGGGAGAUCAAUCGGGACGGCGAAAAGGAAGAAAGGAAUAAGAAGCUCCGCAAAGCAGACUCCAGAGAGAACAUUUCCCUGUCUGUAGAAAAGAAGCAGGCACCGAAACCACCCGUGACGAAUGAGACCAAUGAACGAAGAGCCUCUAGGGAAAAGGGUCCAGCACCUCCACCACCAGCGACUCGUCAGGAUAGCAAGAGUGAUGAAAAAGAAAAUAUUCCAAAGACUGCCGAUAAACCGAACGCCGUGGAAACGUCCAAUAUUCGAAGGCCUGUUGAUGAGAAACCAGACAAAGGUCCGGUAUUGCAAAACCACGAAAAAGGAGAUAAGCCGAGAAAAAGUAACGAGAACCAAAAGAGAGCCGCUGACAAGAGACCUAGCAUCGAUGGUUCGGAACAUAUAAAGGCUCCGAUGGUCGAGGAUAAAAAGAAAAGUGUUUCGGAACCGAAAAACGUCGAAUCCAGACCGAAAUCGGUGGACAACAAGAAAAGCUUAUUGACGGAGAAAAAGGCGAGUUUAGAUGAAAAACGAAAAUCGGCUCCUGUUAGGUCGGACUCCAUCGACGAGUGGAAAAAGCCAGCGUAUGGGAAACAGAGUUCGUUGGAGGAGAAGAGAAGAUUCGAGCAGAAGUCGUCAGUGGAGGAUGGGCUCAGGUUUCAGAAGCAAUUGCCAAAAGAGGAGCAUCAUAUGAACAAGAGCUUGGAGGAGAAAAGGAAGUCCGUAGAAGAGAAAUUAAAUGCAGUGUUAGAAAAGCGGAUGUCUAUUGAAUCGGCGAAGCGUUCGAGCGAUGUAUCCAUGCAGACGUUCGUACAAACGCCGGAUGCCACGACUCCGUCCAUUCUUCUCGAUAAAAGCCCCGUGAAAGCGAGCUCAACGGAAGAUAUCAAGACGGACUUUGGUAUUUCGAAGAAUCGCAAUCUCGCGAAAAGCCGAAGCGAAGGUUCAUCAAGGAAUGAUUCACUGGAGAACCUGUCUGAUGACCUCGAGGGAAAAGAUACAGCUGUAAAAUCCGCGGGCAGAAAGGGUGAAGGUGAAGACACGCCCGAUCGAAGUACAGGCAGUGAACGAACGGAUUCUACUGUAAACGUUUCCGUCAUUACCUCAACGCCUCUAAGAAGCAGAAGUGUGUCCAGAAGUGGUAGCGGGGAUAACAUAGUUGUCAUUACUGGUAAAUCUCAACCGGAACAAGACAUUCGCCCAAAUACGUCAACUGUGAGGAUAACAGCUGAUUCUCCGGAUCCAUCGAACAGUCUCGCGAGUAACAUAAGUCAGGUCACCGUUGUUACUACGCAUCCUCCGGUACUGGUAGAUGCAGCAGCUACACCACCACCUCAUCGGCCAUCACCGUCGUCAGAAGUGAUUAUAGUUGCUAACGAGACUAACAAGACUCAAGUAAACGAGAGCUCCACCGAUGACGACGGCUUCCCGAGCUUGGACAGCUUGGAGUACACUCCUCAGGAGCAACCUAUCGUUAUCACCGACACGCCGAAGAGAAUCGGCAAGAAGUUAGACGAGUCGGAGGUGAUCAUAGUCAGUCCGAUCGUGGACGAGUUGCAGGAUACUAGUCACGUCUCGGUCGUUACCGUAGGUGACGACAAGGAGCAAGUUAAGGACUCCUCGAUCGUUAGUAAGCGUACAAUCGUUAGGACGGGAUCGUCACACAGCGAUUUCAGUUCUACCGAGAGGUCCAGCUCGAAGAGCGACAGCGGAGACGACAGCAAAACGGCCAUGGUAGUCUCCGCAACCACUAUGGAGGCGACGGACGUCGACGACUUGGCCGAUAGAAACUUGAAAAUAAUGAAUGGUCAGAUACGAAGCGAAAGGGUGUCCUUGGCUCGCGACGACGAGAGGACGGCGAAGACCUCGAAACAGAAGGAGGUCGACUCUAAGCAUCUCAAAGAGAAACGCGUGUCACCUGACAGUUUUGAGGGGUCCAGGUCUCACAGCGAUUCUGGAUCAACUAGAUCACAUACACCUAGCAAGAGUAUAGACCGUUCGGAUGCCGAAUCCAUAUCCACGACGAUUAGUCAAGACAGUCGCGGCUCUAAUAAGGAGAACCACUUCACGGGGAGGGAAUCGCGUCAGUCGUCCGAACUGGACGACGAGAUAGUACUACGCAGAAAGCCUGAUUAUAACAGGGACAUCCCUAGACAAACUAGAACGAAAGAGGAUAUUCAGAUGAUGAAUCUGAAGAAGAAAACCAGGAAGAGGACGAGGAAGUUCGAAAUCGACGGAGUGGUCGUAACGACUACGACGUCGAAAGUCAUAUACGGAGAUGACGAGAACGGGAAGGUAUACGACGACCAAAUCUUCCGAAAGCAGGAGCUCAGAGAAUUGAAGAUGCUGCAGAAGAUGGAGCAGAAACAAUUCCAAGACCUUUCGCAGAAGGCUCAGUUCAAUAAAGACCAGCAGGAGAAACGGUUCGAACAUGAGAGGCAAAUUUUGGAGCGAGCUGCUGAAACUGAUCUGGAAGCUCUUGCCAGACAACAAAGGCAGCAAAUCGAGAGAGCCGAGACACAACAGGAGGCUGAUUUAAGACUGGCGUCGAAAAAGAUACGCAGUGAACAAGAACGAGAGUUGAAGCAAUUCCGGGAAGGCUUGAAACAGGAAUUGAGAUUACUUAAACAGGAAGUUGACCUGAUGCCAAAGGAGAAGAGGAAGAGCGCGUUCAAAAUGCGAAAGGAGAAGCUGGAGGCUGAACACGAGGAACGCGAGAAGCUUUUCUUGGAGAAGCUGAAUGAAAGUCACGAAACGUCAUUGAGAAGGCUAUCCGACAGUCAUCGUGAGAAGAUAGCGUUGAUGGAGCGACAAUUCUUACAGCAGAAACAGCAGCUGAUGAGGGCGCGAGAAGCGGCGAUUUGGGAAUUGGAGGAACGCCAGAUACACGAGAGGCAACAGUUGUUGAAGAAACAGCUGAAGGAUACCUUCUUCUUGCAGCGGCAUCAGAUGCUUGUCCGCCACGAGAAGGAACUCGAACAAAUGAAGAGGAUGAAUCAGAGGAAGGAAGAGGAGCUGAUCAAGAGACAAGCCGUCGAAAGGAGGAAUCUACCUAAAAGAAUUCGCAACGAGAUGAAGGCACGCGAAAUGAUGUUCAGGGAGUCCUUGCGAAUAUCCAUGGCUUCGGCUCUUGCUCCUGACCCUGACGCCGAAAGGGAGAAACUGAAGAAGUUCCAGGAGAACGAGAAGAAGAGAUACAGGGCAGAGCAGCAGCGUUUCGAGCUGAAACACGCGAGGCAGCUCGAAGAAGUUCGGGCCCAGAGCGACGCUACUAUCAAGGAGCUCGAGCAACUUCAAAACGAGAAGAGGAAGAUGCUGAUGGAGCACGAGACAAUGAAGCUGAAAGCGCAGGAGGAAACCUACACGAAGGAGCUCAAGGAAUGGAAGGCACAGUUGAAGCCGCGUAAGCAGAAGCUAGAGGCAGAACUGGCGACCGAAAGGGAAGCGUUGGAAGCCCGCUACCGGGACUAUUUGCCCCCUCGUCUAAGUGGUUCUUCAUUCGCCACUUUUGACAUUUCCGUCAUCUCGACUCCUCCCGCCUGGAAGAAAUCUCCUCGGCUCUCCAAAUCCAUUCCUAACUCGCCUUCCCCAUUUAGCAUUCCGAGGGUGUCGCUAAAAUUCGAAGGCUCCGAAACGAGCUCGCUGAGCAGCACUCUUCCUCGAAGCCAUUCCAAACCCGACUUGGUGCCUCAUUCUCCUCGUAGAUAGUCUUUCGUGUCUUAUUGGCAAAGCUGGGCAAUGUUUGAAAGUACUAUUCGAAAUACCAUUGAAAGUAUAACGUGUUUUCGACGUCGUUUCCAUACAGGAACAUACACUUUAAACUUGUGUUUUCACGUGCGAAGUUAAAGUUCUGAUAAAUUUCGACAUCUUAAAGUGCACGUAAAGACAACAAAUACUACAGAAAAAGAGCAAACGAUAUCCGGGAUAAUGAAAUGCAUUUUACAAAUGGAUGUCUGGACCAGCAGUAGCGACCUUCAAGAAGUAAUGUCUCAUAGAUACUUUGUGUUUUCAUCCGUUGAGAUUAAUAAUUGUAUUUAAAAUGUUCCUUGGAGUAUAGAAUGUUAUCGAUUUCGAAAAGUAUUUUCAAAUGAGCUUUCUGAGUCAUGUUUGACAGAGGUGACGAUUUAAUUUACAGUAGUGCUUAGCGUGAUAAUGGUUCUGAAGUUGAGAUUCUUCAAUGAGGACCGUCUAAUCUGGUGUUAUCUCUGUCGAAUGUGACCAUUUUGUGUUCGUCCGUCCUUGUGGGUACACUUUAGAUUGUUGUUCAUUCAUCGAAAGAGAUCAUUUUGGAAAUCUCCGUACUCCUGCGUUGUCUUUCUAACGUUAGGGUAUUCCUUUAGUCAUUUGUCGUACAAAUUCCCGGAUGGCGAUUCUGCAUCUGUCAUUAAUUUCAAAGUGGUUACAAAUGCCAUCCCACUUACUAAUACAGAAUACAGGGUUAUCGACGAGCUUCUUUCUCAUUUGUAAGUAAGGGUGUGAGUCAUUAAGAGAAGAUUGUUUCCUACUAGUCCCUUGUCACAAUUUAAAUAUUCGUAGUUAUCAGGAAGUGUUUUAACGACAUCGAAUGGACUUCAAGUAUCUGUUCAUAACAAUCGGAGCUUCUGUGUUGUGUCACAUUCACGUCUACAUUCGUUUGCUUCGUAUUUUCGUCUGCGUUAUUCGCUACAAAGGGCGGGUCCAUUAACGCACGGUGUCCAAUUUAAUAUCUAAUAACCUUCCACGUCUCGUGUUCAUUAGUUAAUGAUAAAAAUGCGGUAGAUGCAAGUAGAAAGCAAAAAAAAACAUUAAGUAUCACGGUGUAGCUUUUCUGGGUUUCCCUGGCGUCAUGUUUAUGUAUUAUGUAAAUCGUGAUCGUAUUUUCCUGCAAAGAGAUUACUCUUCCGAAUACCUUAAGGGGAGUCGUUCGUAAAGAUCUGACAAUUGGAUACCCGAAGGGUGCUGAAAAGAGAUUGGAAGAACAAUUCGCCUUGCAGCUGGAGGAGCAAGAGGCGAUUUUCGGACCAAGUGCGAUACCUUUAUGUCUGCCACCUGAUCUUCCCGACCUUACACACCACACCGCAGGUUCUACACGCAGUUCGU
rnacentral:misc_RNA from 1 species